rnacentral:rRNA from 1 species
AGCGAACGCUGGCGGCAGGCUUAACACAUGCAAGUCGAACGCCCGUAGCAAUACGGGAGUGGCAGACGGGUGAGUAACGCGUGGGAACAUGCCCUUUUGUUCGGAAUAACUCAGGGAAACUUGAGCUAAUACCGUAAAAGCCCGAGAGGGGAAAGAUUUAUCGCCGAAGGAUUGGCCCGCGUUCUAUCAGCUUGUUGGUGAGGUAAUGGCUCACCAAGGCUACGACGGAUAACUGGUCUGAGAGGAUGACCAGUCACACUGGGACUGAGACACGGCCCAGACUCCUACGGGAGGCAGCAGUGAGGAAUAUUGCGCAAUGGGCGAAAGCCUGACGCAGCGACGCCGCGUGGAGGAUGAAGGCCCUCGGGUUGUAAACUCCUGUCAGUGGGGAAGAGAACGGACGGUACCCACUGAGGAAGCUUCGGCUAACUACGUGCCAGCAGCCGCCGUAAAAC